UACGUAGGGUGCAAGCGUUGUCCGGAAUUAUUGGGCGUAAAGAGCUCGUAGGCGGUUUGUCGCGUCUGCUGUGAAAACUCGGGGCUUAACCCUGGGCCUGCAGUGGGUACGGGCAGACUAGAGUGCGGUAGGGGAGACUGGAAUUCCUGGUGUAGCGGUGAAAUGCGUAGAUAUCAGGAGGAACACCGGUGGCGAAGGCGGGUCUCUGGGCAGUAACUGACGCUGAGGAGCGAAAGCGUGGGGAGCGAACAGG
rnacentral:rRNA from 1 species